rnacentral:SRP_RNA from 11 species
AGGCAGCAGCCGUUCACGGGCUUGUGCGUGUGGUUG